rnacentral:tRNA from 1 species
GGGCCGAUGGUCUAGGGGUUACAUUGGUGGAAGAAACCUCCACUGUGCCUCAGAUGACGUCGCGCUUACAACGCGGAGGUCGCCGGUUCGAUUCCGGCUCGGCCCA